rnacentral:rRNA from 1 species
UACGAUCUAUGGAUGAAAGCGGGGGACCGUAAGGCUCGCGCGAUUGGAGCGGCCGAUAUCAGAUUAGGUAGUUGUGGGGUAAAGGCCUACCAAGCCGACGAUCUGUAGCUGGUCUGAGAGGACGACCAGCCACACUGGGACUGAGACACGGCCCAGACUCCUACGGGAGGCAGCAGUGGGGAAUUUUGGACAAUGGGCGCAAGCCUGAUCCAGCAAUGCCGCGUGCAGGACGAAGGCCUUCGGGUUGUAAACUGCUUUUGUACGGAGCGAAAAGGCUCUCUCUAAUACAGGGGGUUCAUGACGGUACCGUAAGAAUAAGCACCGGCUAACUACGUGCCAGCAGCCGCGGUAAUACGUAGGGGUGCAAGCGUUAAUCGGAAUUACUGGGCGUAAAGCGUGCGCAGGCGGUUAUGUAAGACAGAGGUGAAAUC